GGCUGCAAGGUGGCGCAGUUGGUAGCAUCGUUGCCUUGCAGCACUGUUGCCUUGCAGAAGAAGGUCCUGGGUUCGACUCCCAGCCAGCGGUCU